UACCAGGAAUUAACCUACUUCCUGAAGUCUGUCUUCACAGAUCAGAAUCUAGUUAUUCAAAGAGAGAAGAAUAAAUACCUCAAAUUUUCCUGUGGCUAUUUCAGAGAAUUCUGGUACAGUUGGGAGUAAAAGAAACAGGAGGAUUCUUUUGGCAAGUGAAAGAAGAACAGAAUUUACAGUAGUCUCGGUGCCUGGUCCCAGGAGGUGUGCAUCAGAUGACUAACUACUUGCAAAGUCUCGUUGCUGAGAGUGAAGCUGCAGGAUAGCUUUAUGGGUUUCUCUUUCAUCCGUCCUUGUGAAAUAGAAGAAACCACCACAGGAGAAUUUCUAAUGGAGUCUCAGCUGAACUGUACCGUGAAGAGGACAGUAUGAUUUCUGACUUCUUCCAAGGUUCCCUCUUUGAGACUUCUUUAGCAUUGGUAGAAAAGAGAUUAAAUAAUAUUCUGAGGAAAACUAGCUUUUGAAUGUCAUAGUGGUUAAUAAGUACUGAUGUGUGGAUAUUAGAAAAAAACAAUUAAUAGAUCUGAGCAGCAAAGAGAAAGUUUUGUUUGCAUUAUUCUGGCUGCAGCGUGCUGGAUCAGAGGAACCCAGGUGUGCGAGAGUUAAAUGUUACUUUCAAUAAGAAAUACUUGUGGGAGAAAAGGGAGGAACAGGAAUAAUGUCUGCAAGAAAGCACAGCAAAAAGAGAGCUUUUAGCACAGCCAAGACCCCAAAGAGCAUGGAGAAGAUGCAGAGGCAGUCCACAGAACUAAUGGAAAGUAAGACUUUUUUCAGUUCUUCUAAGUAAACUAUAAAAAAUGUGUUGUAACCAGAAGGCCCCUGAAAAAUCAUUUCAUGGACAUCCCAAAGGAGAAGACCCCCUUCAAAGUCAGUUAACCCAUUUUAUUUUGGUGUUUUUUCUAGUGUAUCCUUCAUUUUCUGAAAUUGACAGUGGUCAUUGUUCCCACAUCUGUUCUGAUGGGAGAAGAUACAAAAUGCAACCUUGCUCAGGAGUUCAUAAAGCCCCAUGCAUGAUGUUAGAAAAAAGUGAAGCCAGUACCACCAUUUCUGUAUUGCUUUAUAUCAAGGAAAACAUUAAUUAAUAUUUCGAAUAUAAUAAAUAAUCUUGCUUUUCGUGUU